UACGGGGGGGGCAAGCGUUGUUCGGAAUUACUGGGCGUAAAGGGCUCGUAGGCGGCCAACUAAGUCGGACGUGAAAUCCCCAGGCUCAACCUGGGAACUGCGUCCGAUACUGGAUGGCUUGAAUUCGGGAGAGGGAUGCAGAAUUCCAGGUGUAGCGGUGAAAUGCGUAGAUAUCUGGAGGAAUACCGGUGGCGAAGGCGGCAUCCUGGACCGACAUUGACGCUGAUGAGCGAAAGCUAAGGGGAGCAAACGGGGAUUAAGAUGAUCCCUUGUAGUCCCU
rnacentral:rRNA from 1 species